rnacentral:rRNA from 1 species
GACGAACGCUGGCGGCGUGCUUAACACAUGCAAGUCGAGCGGUAAGGCUCCUUCGGGAGUACACGAGCGGCGAACGGGUGAGUAACACGUGAGCAAUCUGCCCUUCUCAUCGGAAUAACCAUUGGAGACGAUGGCUAAUGCCGAAUACGACUUCCUUUCGCAUGUCAGGAAGUGGGAAGCUCCGGCGGAGAAGGAUGAGCUCGCGGCCUAUCAGCUUGUUGGUGAGGUAAUGGCUCACCAAGGCGACGACGGGUAGCCGGCCUGAGAGGGUGACCGGCCACACUGGGACUGAGACACGGCCCAGACUCCUACGGGAGGCAGCAGUGGGGAAUAUUGGACAAUGGGCGAAAGCCUGAUCCAGCAACGCCGCGUGAGGGAUGACGGCCUUCGGGUUGUAAACCUCUUUCAGCAGGGACGAAGCGAAAGUGACGGUACCUGCAGAAGAAGGACCGGCCAACUACGUGCCAGCCGCCGCCGUAC